AGCGAACGCUGGCGGCAGGCCUAACACAUGCAAGUCGAACGGAUCCUUCGGGAUUAGUGGCGGACGGGUGAGUAACACGUGGGAACGUGCCCUUUGGUUCGGAACAAGUCAGGGAAACUUGAGCUAAUACCGGACGUGCGCUUCGGGGGAAAGAUUUAUCGGCAUUGGAGCGGCCCGCGUCUGAGUAGCUAGUUGGUGAGGUAAAGGCUCACCAAGGCGACGAUCAGUAGCUGGUCUGAGAGGAGAAUCAGCCAGAUUGGGACUGAGACACGGCCCAAACUCCUACGGGAGGAGGCAGUGGGGAAUCUUGCGCAAUGGUCGAAAGCCUGACGCAGCCAUGCCGCGUGAAUGAUGAAGGUCUUAGGAUUGUAAAAUUCUUUCACCGGGGACGAUAAUGACGGUACCCGGAGAAGAAGCCCCGGCUAACUUCGUGCCAGCCGCCGCGGUAAAAC
rnacentral:rRNA from 1 species